rnacentral:rRNA from 1 species
GGUUAAGCGACUAAGCGUACACGGUGGAUGCCCUGGCAGUCAGAGGCGAUGAAGGACGUGCUAAUCUGCGAUAAGCGUCGGUAAGGUGAUAUGAACCGUUAUAACCGGCGAUUUCCGAAUGGGGAAACCCAGUGUGUUUCGACACACUAUCAUUAACUGAAUCCAUAGGUUAAUGAGGCGAACCGGGGGAACUGAAACAUCUAAGUACCCCGAGGAAAAGAAAUCAACCGAGAUUCCCCCAGUAGCGGCGAGCGAACGGGGAGGAGCCCAGAGCCUGAAUCAGUGUGUGUGUUAGUGGAAGCGUCUGGAAAGGCGCGCGAUACAGGGUGACAGCCCCGUACACAAAAAUGCACAUACUGUGAGCUCGAUGAGUAGGGCGGGACACGUGGUAUCCUGUCUGAAUAUGGGGGGACCAUCCUCCAAGGCUAAAUACUCCUGACUGACCGAUAGUGAACCAGUACCGUGAGGGAAAGGCGAAAAGAACCCCGGCGAGGGGAGUGAAAAAGAACCUGAAACCGUGUACGUACAAGCAGUGGGAGCCUCUUUUAUGGGGUGACUGCGUACCUUUUGUAUAAUGGGUCAGCGACUUAUAUUCUGUAGCAAGGUUAACCGAAUAGGGGAGCCGAAGGGAAACCGAGUCUUAACUGGGCGUUAAGUUGCAGGGUAUAGACCCGAAACCCGGUGAUCUAGCCAUGGGCAGGUUGAAGGUUGGGUAACACUAACUGGAGGACCGAACCGACUAAUGUUGAAAAAUUAGCGGAUGACUUGUGGCUGGGGGUGAAAGGCCAAUCAAACCGGGAGAUAGCUGGUUCUCCCCGAAAGCUAUUUAGGUAGCGCCUCGUGAAUUCAUCUCCGGGGGUAGAGCACUGUUUCGGCAAGGGGGUCAUCCCGACUUACCAACCCGAUGCAAACUGCGAAUACCGGAGAAUGUUAUCACGGGAGACACACGGCGGGUGCUAACGUCCGUCGUGAAGAGGGAAACAACCCAGACCGCCAGCUAAGGUCCCAAAGUCAUGGUUAAGUGGGAAACGAUGUGGGAAGGCCCAGACAGCCAGGAUGUUGGCUUAGAAGCAGCCAUCAUUUAAAGAAAGCGUAAUAGCUCACUGGUCGAGUCGGCCUGCGCGGAAGAUGUAACGGGGCUAAACCAUGCACCGAAGCUGCGGCAGCGACGCUUAUGCGUUGUUGGGUA